rnacentral:sRNA from 1 species
AUGGGACUGUCCACUGAUACUGGCUGGAAUCAGAAGAGUAAUUUCCCACCUUGUGACUCUCGUAUCUCCAAAGAAGAAGCCCAACUCCCUUUCCCAGCACCUAGCAGCGCUAGGGUGCAGGUUCCUCCAACCAGACUUACGCACGCAAGUCUCAGUCUGAAAGCGAGCAGCACAAGGAAGCACGUGCUGUCCUGAACCAUUGUUCUGGCUUGGAUGGUGGAGAGGAGUCUGGCCUUUGUGGGGCAAGUACCCGCAUUGAUGCUGGCACUGGGAACGGGACGGAUGAUAAAGUCACUGAUCAGCACAGACGCAGAAGAUGCCUCCAAGGGACCAAAGGGAAUAACCGCGGUUCUGAGGUGUGGGGACGGCUGUUGCAGGGAAAUGUGGACCGCUCAGGAGGGGCUCCUAGCGCAGGCGUCUUCCCCCGCAGACGCGGUUACAGCUGCGCUUUGCACGGCCUGCGGAAGUUUGCAAAUCUAGCAGGUCUGCUCUCCCGGCAGUAGGACUCGGCCCGCGGCGUGAGCCACCGCUCUCGGCUGAAGAUCCAUUUUAAGAAGAUUUAUUCCUCUAUGAUGGAGAAGUAUGAAAAAAUUGGGAAAAUUGGAGAAGGAUCCUAUGGAGUUGUUUUCAAAUGUAGAAACAGGGACACGGGUCAGAUUGUGGCCAUCAAGAAGUUUCUGGAAUCAGAAGAUGAUCCUGUCAUAAAGAAAAUCGCCCUUCGAGAAAUCCGAAUGCUCAAGGCCCCAAACCCCUAUGCUGCUGAACUUCCUCUCUGUGGAAUGAAAAUGCUAGGAAGAGGAAAGAAAGAAUUUCUGCCAGCAGUGGCAGAAAAAGUAGAUGCUCCUAGUGGAGUUGGAGGUCAAGGGCAGGACAGUGUCACUGUGGGAUCUCUGGGCAGACGUUCUACCUAUGGCAGAAAACAAGAAAAACAAGUGAGACAAGGAGAAGGAAUCAUCUACUGCUAUGUGGCAGUUUUUCUUCGGAUUUACUAUUUUGACCAGGGGUGUUGCAGGGAGGAAGAGCAGUUUCAGGAGCUUGUAUUUGGCCCUUUCUGCCAUAUUGGCUCUUACUUCACGGGUCAUAGAACCAAUGUGAGCCCUUACAUUUUACUACUGGUCAUGGCCCAGCCUCUUGGAGACUGCUGCUGGUACCUAUGAGGCAGGUCUCGUCAUUCUUGAGUGCAGUUAUUUCCUCACAGAGCAAGAACCUUAUUGCCCUACUCAGGCACUGCAACAACCUCAUCCUAUUAUAGGUCCGUGGGCCCUAGAAGGAGGUGGGGUAGAGUCUAAGGAGGACAGGCAUCCCCCUCCUAAGGAGGCACCUGCAUCAUGUGAGGGAUUUUUAGGGUCUGCAGUGCCCAAGCAAGCUUACACGCCAUUCAAAACCAGCCCUGACAAAAGGCUUAGUGACUGUGUUGCUACAGCUCCCCGGGCUUCCUCCCACCCCACUUAUCAUCAGCAGUGGGGUCCUUGUUGCCAUCUGCUCCAUGAUUGAUCCAGUUCCAGAAUUCCAUUCUGAAGGUCUGCUAGCUAAGGCCACUUCUGGCAGUGCUGGAAUCCUGGUAUGGAUAUUUUUAUGCAGUGAUGCUUUUAUUUAUGGAAAGUAUAUUCUCAGAAGUGGAGUGCUAGCAGUGUGGACCCAAACAGGGAGCACCAGCAAGAUUUAUUGCAAAGAGUGAAAGUACAAAGCUUCCACAGUGUGGAAGGGGCCCCCACUAGACAUAGAGGUUCCCCAAGUCCCCACCAGACUCAGCAGCCCAGCUGGCCUCACCCAGUGGAUCCCACACCAGGGCGCAGGUGGAGCUGCCUGCCAGUCCCAUGCCGUGCACGGGCACUCCUCAGUCCUUGGGUGGUCGAUGGGACUGGGCGCCGUGGAGCAGGGGCGGUGCUGGUCGCGGAGGCUCGGCCACGCAGGAGCCCACACAACUCAAGCAUCCCAACCUUGUCAACCUCCUGGAAGUCUUCAGGAGGAAACGGAGGCUUCAUCUGGUGUUCGAAUAUUGUGACCACACAGUUCUCCAUGAGUUGGACAGAUACCAAAGAGGCAUAUGCAACAUCUUUGUGCAUUGGAAGAAGACUUGGUGAGCACACAGAGGCCUUGUCCAAGAAAAAGAAAAAAGGAGGAGGGGUCCCUUCCUGCAGUUGAGGGCAGACUCUUGCAAGAUCACCCUGUUAAAGAAUGUUGGCUGUGGGCUGGAAACCACAGGUGAUUUGAGUCUAAAUUCUGGAGGGGGGGCCGCAUCCCCCAAGGGGUGGCUGCAGCUCUCAGAGCACUUGUGUGUGGGACAGAGCUGACCUCUAGCGACUCUCCCCAGAGGUGCAUACAUAGAGAUGUGAAGCCAGAAAAUAUCCUCAUCACAAAACAUUCCGUGAUUAAGCUUUGUGACUUUGGAUUUGCUCGGCUUUUGACUGGACCGAGUGACUACUAUACAGACUACGUGGCUACCAGGUGGUACCGCUCCCCUGAGCUGUUGGUGGGGGACACGCAGUACGGCCCCCCGGUGGAUGUUUGGGCAAUUGGCUGUGUCUUUGCUGAGCUGCUGUCAGGAGUGCCUCUGUGGCCAGGAAAAUCGGAUGUGGAUCAGCUGUAUCUGAUUAGGAAGACCUUGGGGGAUCUCAUUCCUAGGCACCAGCAAAUGUUUAGCACGAAUCAGUACUUCAGUGGAGUGAAAAUUCCAGACCCUGAAGAUAUGUCCCUCUGCCUGUCAGUAACCUGACAGAGGGAGGCCUGCUUGCUUCUGGGGCUGUGAAACUGGCUCACAGGAUGGGCUCCAGCGUAUCACAAGCAACCAGUCGGCCUCAUCCAGACAUUGUUGCUGAGACAGCAGAGCUCGAUGAUAUAGCAAUGGCACGUCAAACCCCAGUGAUGCUCAGAUUCAACCGACAGAAAGAACGAGAAAUAUUUGAAGCUAUGGAGCAUGA